rnacentral:rRNA from 1 species
AUUGAACAAACCUCUGGUGUAUCAGUUGUUCCGCCAGGAGCACCGCUGAGUAGCUACGUUUGGAAGAGAUAAGCACUGAAAGCAUAUAAGUGCGAAACUCGCCUCAAGAUGAGACAUCUUUUAAGGGUCGUUGGAGAUGACGACGUUGAUAGGCUAUAGGUGUAAAGGCAGUAAUGUCAUAGCCGAGUAGUACUAAUUACCCGUAGAUUUAUAGC